rnacentral:rRNA from 1 species
ACUCCUACGGGAGGCAGCAGUGGGGAAUUUUGGACAGUGGGCGAAAGCCUGAUCCAGCAAUGCCGCGUGAGUGAAGAAGGCCUUCGGGUUGUAAAGCUCUUUUGUCAGGGAAGAAACGGUGAAAGCUAAUAUCUUUUGCUAAUGACGGUACCUGAAGAAUAAGCACCGGCUAACUACGUGCCAGCAGCCGCGGUAAUACGUAGGGUGCAAGCGUUAAUCGGAAUUACUGGGCGUAAAGCGUGCGCAGGCGGUUUUGUAAGUCUGAUGUGAAAUCCCCGGGCUCAACCUGGGAAUUGCAUUGGAGACUGCAAGGCUAGAAUCUGGCAGAGGGGGGUAGAAUUCCACGUGUAGCAGUGAAAUGCGUAGAUAUGUGGAGGAACACCGAUGGCGAAGGCAGCCCCCUGGGUCAAGAUUGACGCUCAUGCACGAAAGCGUGGGGAGCAAACAGGAUUAGAAACCCUUGUAGUCCCAUGA